GAUCCAACAAACAAUGGACUCGAAAAGCAAGAAUUAAUCUUUCUCUCCAUCCGUGUCUCGCUUUCAUCCACGUCAUCCUCUCUACUUCUUUCUCGCAUGCUUCUCCUUCAGCAGAGUCAAGGUCAAUCAGGGAGCACUUGGAAACACCUUUCAGCAAGCUACUUCCAUGGUGUGCUGUGGACACAAAGCACUGGUGGACUGAGUUCAGCUGCUCAGAAAUAAUGCAGCAAUCAUUCAUAAGUCAGCAGCAUGAAUAUAGAAACCUUUUCUUCUAGUCUUUUUCUUCACAGUCAGACUCACCCGUCUUCACCUCGCCUCUCCUCCACUUGACUCAUCUUCCUCCUCUUCCCGCCACCUCCUCCAUUCUCUGUCCUCUCACCCACUAGCCAUCAAGUGCCUCCCUCAGGGUGAGGGAGGGGAGGACACCGCUGCCUUGGAUCUCAAGAGCAUUGCUAACAUCUGUGCCUGGAUAAUUACUUUCUUACAGAGGAAGCUUGUAACUAACUAGAGACUUAAUCACAAGAAGCUCUGUAGAAGUUGACGUUGUCUUGGCAGUCAGAUCACACAGAUGACCUUUGGUUAAAUCCCCAUCAUCCAAAUGCUCUGAGAUGUGCUGUAAAGCCUGAGAUCAUCAAGCUAAUAGGAUGUGUGACCUGUGAUGCUCUGCUCUGAUCUCUGUUGUGGUCUGGACUCCCGGGUUGCAGUCGCAGGCCAGAUGAGACCAUCCAUCAGAGCGGGUUUGAUCUCCAUCCUGCUGGGUCAUUCCCUCCUCUUUGUGCGGCUUGAAACUGCACUGAGCCUCUAUACCAUCUGCCUGCUUCAGGCCUUGUUUCCCCCUUCCACAGUCACUGAGCUUUGCUGAAAG